GACGAACCGUGCGAACGUUAUUCGGAAUCACUGGGCUUAAAGCGCGUGUAGGCGGCCCGGUAAGUCCGCUGUGAAAGUCCAGGGCUCAACCCUGGGAUGCCGGUGGAUACUGUCGGGCUCGAGUCCGGAAGAGGCGAGUGGAAUUCCUGGUGUAGCGGUGGAAUGCGCAGAUAUCAGGAGGAACACCAAUAGCGAAGGCAGCUCGCUGGGACGGUAUUGACGCUAAGGCGCGAAAGCGUGGGGAGCAAACAGG
rnacentral:rRNA from 1 species